UUAGAAUUGAGACCGGCUCUGAUGGCUUCAAUAGCAUUGGAGCUGGUCUCCCCUCCUUUCUUUCCUUGUUUUUCUUUUUUGUUAGAUGUGUAUCAUCUGGCCUUCUUCUCUUGAUAGCCAGAGUCUGACGUUUUGUUGAUGAUAUGGGAUUAGGAGAGGUUCUGAGUCUCAGAUUCGAUUGUCUUCUAUCAUCUUGCACUGAGGUCGGAGCUCUGGGUCCUUCAAUCGACGGUGGGGUUUAUCUUUUUUUUUUUCUGAUUUCAUGUGAUUCAAGUAGAGAUUGUGUUUCUGUUAUGUUUCUUUUUCUGUUUAUUUUGUUCGCUGGUUCGCCGUGCUGGUUGUUUGCAGUGUUUUCUUUUCGGUUUGUUCGCUGCUUCUUUGCAUCUCUUGUUGGGGGAGGUGGCGGAGUUUCUUCGCAGUGGCUUCUCUCUUUUAUCUCCCAAACUCUUCCUCAUGUGCGGUAUGCUCCUCAAGUCAAUGUUUUAGAGUUUCACGAGAAAACGAUUUGCAGAUGAUGUUGUUGCAAGUAAUUAAUGUUGUGAUUCUGCUCACAUUUACUAGCUUGGGGUGGUCCGAUUUGGUUAAAUCCUAUCGUCAGUCUCAAGACUAAGAUCAUUUUCUAAGUUUCUACUUGCAUGUCUAAUGGAUCUUCAUCCUUUCAUGCUUCUACGCUCACUCUUUAUAAGAUCCACUUUUUCUUUUGGGUGCUCUAUAUGGACUUUUGAUGGUACCUACUGGUACUUUUUGCUGUUUUUAAUGUUUUGUUAUUACAUUUGUUUUGUUUUACCCGCAAACUGUUUUGCUA